ACCAGGCCGGGCCGGUACCGGCUGGGGAUCUCGCGCGUCGCCCGGGCCCACUGCGGUUCGGGCCGGGUCGCCACCAGCGCCAGGAAC
rnacentral:tRNA from 1 species